rnacentral:rRNA from 1 species
GAUGAACGCUGGCGGCGUGCUUAACACAUGCAAGUCGAACGGAAAGGCCCAAGCUUGCUUGGGUACUCGAGUGGCGAACGGGUGAGUAACACGUGGGUGAUCUGCCCUGCACUUCGGGAUAAGUCUGGGAAACUGGGUCUAAUACCGGAUAGGACCACAUUUUGGAUGGUGUGGUGGAAAGUUUUUCGGUGUGGGAUGAGCUCGCGGCCUAUCAGCUUGUUGGUGGGGUAAUGGCCUACCAAGGCGUCGACGGGUAGCCGGCCUGAGAGGGUGUACGGCCACAUUGGGACUGAGAUACGGCCCAGACUCCUACGGGAGGCAGCAGUGGGGAAUAUUGCACAAUGGGCGCAAGCCUGAUGCAGCGACGCCGCGUGGGGGAUGACGGCCUUCGGGUUGUAAACUCCUUUCGCUAGGGACGAAGCGCAAGUGACGGUACCUGGAGAAGAAGCACCGGCUAACUACGUG